rnacentral:rRNA from 1 species
GAUGAACGCUAGCUACAGGCUUAACACAUGCAAGUCGAGGGGCAGCAUAUUUAUAGCAAUAUAAAUGAUGGCGACCGGCGCACGGGUGAGUAACACGUAUCCAACCUGCCGUUUACUCGGGGAUAGCCUUUCGAAAGAAAGAUUAAUACCCGAUGGUAUAUAUUGAUUUCAUGGUCUUUAUAUUAAAGAAUUUCGGUAAACGAUGGGGAUGCGUUCCAUUAGGCAGUUGGCGGGGUAACGGCCCACCAAACCUACGAUGGAUAGGGGUUCUGAGAGGAAGGUCCCCCACAUUGGAACUGAGACACGGUCCAAACUCCUACGGGAGGCAGCAGUGAGGAAUAUUGGUCAAUGGGCGUAGGCCUGAACCAGCCAAGUAGCGUGAAGGAUGACUGCCCUAUGGGUUGUAAACUUCUUUUAUAAGGGAAUAAAGUGGAGUAUGUAUACUCUUUUGUAUGUACCUUAUGAAUAAGGAUCGGCUAACUCCGUG